rnacentral:lncRNA from 10 species
AGAAAAAAGACACAUUAUUUUAUGAGUCCAAGAUAAUUUUUAUACUUAACAAAUCUGAAGUAUUCCAAUCGCACUGCAUUUGCAUGAGAUGCUCGAGACUCACUACCCGAUCUCCAACCCAAAUAACAGACUGUCUUAAAUCAUUAAUUUGAUUUGCCAAUUUUUGAUCGAUGCCUUGAGUGAGUCCAGUAAGUCUAUCAGAAGAACCAAAAAUAUCAUUUGUUAGGUUAUUGGUUGGGAAUUUUUUUCUAUUUUACCACAGACAAUUACAGCUAUAAAUUCCUUCUAAGCACUGCUCUACUGUCUCUCCUGAUAUAUUUGUAUCUUUGAAUCUAAAAUGUGUCUCCUGCAGAGAACAUGAAGUUGGAUCUUAUUCUUUAAAACCCAGUCUGACAAUCUAUGUGUUUUGAUAGGAUUAUUUAAUCCAUUUACAUUUAAUGUUAUUAUUGCUACAGUUGGGUUUACAUCUGUCAUUUUAACUUUUGUUUUCUGCUUUGUACUGUUUUUGCU